AUUGAACGCUGGCGGCAUGCCUUACACAUGCAAGUCGAACGGCAGCACGGGAGCAAUCCUGGUUGCGAGUGGCGAACGGGUGAGUAAAGUAUCGGAACGUGCCCAGUCGUGGGGGAUAACGUAGCGAAAGUUACGCUAAUACCGCAUACGAUCUAUGGAUGAAAGCGGGGGAUCGCAAGACCUCGCGCGAUUGGAGCGGCCGAUAUCAGUUUAGGUAGUUGGUGGGGUAAAGGCUCACCAAGCCGACGAUCUGUAGCUGGUCUGAGAGGACGACCAGCGACACUGGGACUGAGACACGGCCCAGGCUCCUACGGGAGGCAGCAGUGGGGAAUUUUGAACAAUGGGCGAAAGACUGAUCCAGCCAUGCGGCGUGCAGGAUGAAGGCCUUCGGGUUGUAAACUGCUUUUGUACGGAACGAAAAGGUUUGGCCUAAUAAGCUGAGCUCAUGACGGUACCGUAAGAAUAAGCACCGGCUAACUACGUGCCAGCCGCCGCCGUAA
rnacentral:rRNA from 1 species